rnacentral:rRNA from 1 species
GGAGCUUGCUCCUUGGGUGACGAGUGGCGGACGGGUGAGUAAUGUCUGGGAAACUGCCCGAUGGAGGGGGAUAACUACUGGAAACGGUAGCUAAUACCGCAUAACGUCGCAAGACCAAAGAGGGGGACCUUCGGGCCUCUUGCCAUCGGAUGUGCCCAGAUGGGAUUAGCUAGUAGGUGGGGUAACGGCUCACCUAGGCGACGAUCCCUAGCUGGUCUGAGAGGAUGACCAGCCACACUGGAACUGAGACACGGUCCAGACUCCUACGGGAGGCAGCAGUGGGGAAUAUUGCACAAUGGGCGCAAGCCUGAUGCAGCCAUGCCGCGUGUAUGAAGAAGGCCUUCGGGUUGUAAAGUACUUUCAGCGAGGAGGAAGGGGAUGUGGUUAAUAACCGCAUUCAUUGACGUUACUCGCAGAAGAAGCACCGGCUAACUCCGUGCCAGCAGCCGCGGUAAUACGGAGGGUGCAAGCGUUAAUCGGAAUUACUGGGCGUAAAGCGCACGCAGGCGGUCUGUCAAGUCGGAUGUGAAAUCCCCGGGCUCAACCUGGGAACUGCAUCCGAAACUGGCA